ACUUAAGUAGCUUAUAAUUGAGAGUAUAAUAUUGAAGAUAUUAAGGAAAUUUAGAAUUUUUAAGUA
rnacentral:tRNA from 1 species